GGAGCGUUUCGUUAAAGUUCGUUUUCCAGACUUCGAUCCUAACAGCGUUCUGCGCCGCUGUCGUUACCGUGCACCGCAGGCGGAGCCGCGUCCCGUCCGUGCGGAGGGCUGCGAUGCGCUCACAUCGGGUGGGUGAAUUCCGGGGGUGCCGCACUGUGGGCACUAAUUGAGCCCGGUAAUGAGUCGCUGUGUGUAUGUGAGCUAUCUGCGUUGAAAAACACCCCACAAACAACGGUCCUGGUUAUAACAGAUUGGAGAAAAGAGCUGCAAGGGAUGGUGAGAGUCAAUGCCCAACCUGCACCGAGGGCAGUGCUCUGUCAGUGCUCCAGGGCCGCUGAUGAACCAGAGCCUGAUAGAGAAGCUUGAAGACAAGUGCUGGCUCUGCAUUGAGCCACCUGCGAAGCUCCUUUGAGACAGUGAGGUGACAUGACGGCAAUGGGCUUUGAAAGCCCACCCUCCAGGUGUGAAGAAGACAGGCUGCUGGUGUGAAGGGAUACGCAGAGCUCCCUGCCAUGAGCUUCCAGCUCCACUGAAACAGAAGCAGGUUCCCACUGAUGCCAGCACAGCAGAAGAUCUGACACCUAUGGAUGGACCUUAACACUGAACAUGAUUGAGCAGAACAUAAAAGCACCACCUGCCUCUGAGCUUCUCAUCCUCUGUGAACCCAACAAUUUUGCUCAGCCACAUACAAAGAAGAAACCAGCAGUGCUAUGAGGGGCAUCACAUGGGUACCUGCAGCUCAAAGCAGUCAGAGCACACCUCACAUCCCACACUUUGCACCCUUCCUGCAGCAUUUUUAGCAUGCGAUGCGUUUAUAACCGAUCAGUCUUUGCCUUUGUUAAGUCCCCAUGUCAGCAUGUGUUGAAUCUUCUUUUCUGUGCCAAACAUAUCAGUGCUGUGGCUUCGUCUUUCAAGUUUAUAGUUGUGAUUUCUCAAAAAUUGGAUGAGUACCAACAAGCAAAUAAGGACAACAACAUACCAGCCUACUGCAGGAACACACUGCCAUUUUGGGACCAGCUUUCUUUGGAUGCUGCCGGCAGAUCUGAACUGAAUUUUGCUUAUUGUGAGACCUAGCUGUCAGGGCUCACUGCCCGUCCUUUCCUCUUUCUUCCUUUCUUGUGAUGUGUCAAAAUUUGGUGGAGGAUUAGAAUUGGUGGGAAUGAGAAACGGGUUAGGAAUUUACUGAACAGUACUUGGAUGUUUUAAAGGUAUUUUGGAGAAUCUGUUCUUGUACCAUUCACUCACAAAAUGUAGUAAGCUUGGUAAAAUGUAGUUAAGAUUCAGCUGACUAAGCUUGACUGCUUAUCUAGAUCUAAAUCUAGCAAGUACUGAGGGCAGUAUCUUGUGCCAGCACAUUCUUUCUGAAUUCGCACCCAUGUAUACAGAUGGAGAGCAGUUUUCAUAGCUGGAAGGGGAAAACAUGACCUGUCCAAAAUU
rnacentral:lncRNA from 1 species